AUUGAACGCUGGCGGCAUGCUUUACACAUGCAAGUCGAACGGUAACAGGCCUUCGGGCGCUGACGAGUGGCGAACGGGUGAGUAAUGCAUCGGAACGUGCCCAGUCGUGGGGGAUAACGCAGCGAAAGCUGUGCUAAUACCGCAUACGAUCUGCGGAUGAAAGCGGGGGACCUUCGGGCCUCGCGCGAUUGGAGCGGCCGAUGUCAGAUUAGGUAGUUGGUGGGGUAAAGGCUCACCAAGCCAACGAUCUGUAGCUGGUCUGAGAGGACGACCAGCCACACUGGGACUGAGACACGGCCCAGACUCCUACGGGAGGCAGCAGUGGGGAAUUUUGGACAAUGGGCGCAAGCCUGAUCCAGCAAUGCCGCGUGCAGGAAGAAGGCCUUCGGGUUGUAAACUGCUUUUGUACGGAGCGAAAAGGCUCCCUCUAAUACAGGGGGCUCAUGACGGUACCGUAAGAAUAAGCACCGGCUAACUACGUGCCAGCCGCCGCCGUAACAC
rnacentral:rRNA from 1 species